CCUACGGGGUGCAGCAGUGAGGAAUAUUGGUCAAUGGGCGCGAGCCUGAAUCAGCCAAGUCGCGUGAGGGAAGACGGUCCUAUGGAUUGUAAACCUCUUUUGUCGGGGAGCAAAAGACGCCACGCGUGGCGUUCCGAGAGUACCCGAAGAAAAAGCAUCGGCUAACUCCGUGCCAGCAGCCGCGGUAAUACGGAGGAUGCAAGCGUUGUCCGGACUCAUUGGGCGUAAAGAGUUCGUAGGCGGGAUGGAAAGUCAGGUGUUAAAGGCGCAGGCUCAACCUGGGUAUGGCACUGGAUACUUGCAAGCUGGAAUGCGGUAGAGGUAAAGGGAAUGCCGGGUGUAGCGGUGAAAUGCGUAGAUAUCAGGAGGAACAUCGGUGGCGUAAGCGGUUUACUGGGCCGUAAUUGACGCUGAGGAACGAAAGCCAGGGUAGCAAAUGGGAUUAGAUACCCCUGUAGUC
rnacentral:rRNA from 1 species